UACGUAGGGUGCAAGCGUUGUCCGGAAUUAUUGGGCGUAAAGAGCGUGUAGGCGGCCAGGUAGGUCCGCUGUGAAAACUCGAGGCUUAACCUCGAGAUGUCGGUGGAAACCAUCUGGCUAGAGUCCGGAAGAGGAGAGUGGAAUUCCUGGUGUAGCGGUGAAAUGCGCAGAUAUCAGGAAGAACACCCGUGGCGAAGGCGGCUCUCUGGGACGGUACUGACGCUGAGACGCGAAAGCGUGGGGAGCGAACAGG
rnacentral:rRNA from 1 species